UUUGCUGCAAACACCCGCUGUCAGAGUUUGGCUUUCUGCACCUCCCUUGAUAACAAUCAGUGCCGAUGGGCUGCGGACCCUCUGCUGGUGUGCGGCUUCUCCUUUGCAGAUCCAGCAGCAGCCCAAGUCCCUUUGGCCUGGGGAUCUGGCUGGAGAAUUCCCUUCUGGAACAAGCAUCAGCACCCCUGGGCAAUAUUUUAGGCUUGCUGUGAAGGAAUGGUUUGGGGAUUGGAAGACAUCUACGGAAAGGAGGCAUAGCACCAAGGGAUAAUAAAGGAGCCAAGACAGGCAGCAAGGGACAAACAUCUCAAUCUACUGGAAAAUCUGCAAACAAAAAGGGGAAAUGAUAGAAGAAAUUUUCACAUAUUGAGCUGCAGCUAGCUGUCCCCAGGGUCCUGAGGAGUGAGGGAGCAAGACUUUGAAAAGCCUAUGGGAUGCCUGCGUGGAUGGAGCCGUCAGGAGGGCAACAUGGAAACCAGGGCAGGGCCAGGACGAAUGAGCAGUGGAGGCGAGGGGUGCAGAAUGGCUCCGUUCCAGGUGCUACAGAGUAAGCAAGUCCAUUCUCCCAGAGUGUGUGCAGCAGUGAGGACAGAUUCACCGCCAAACACCGUUCCAAGCACACUCACAGAGAAAAGACAGCACCACCAGGCAACGCACGGGGCAAAAAAGAACUAAUUGCAUAGUUACUGAAAAAAAACAAUCCAACGCACUUAUUCUGCAGCGAGAAAAUGGAUCCACUUUGCAGCGCGUUAACUCUAUCGGAAAGAAUGAUAAUCGCUCGGGAACUGAACGCUCCUCUUCCUUAGCGCUCCCUGGUAACUAUGCAAAUUCUUCCACACGUCUGCCGUGUUGGGCUCAGAACAAAAACGUCUUUUCUGAUCCGUGCUGGGGAUAAUUCCUAAAACUCAGUAAAUCCCACACUCUCAACUCCUCUCCCAAGGGUGGGAGGUGGGAUUCACAGCAUUGGUACUCGGGACACAUCCCCCAGGAUCGGGGUCCAGCCAGCUUGUCUCAUCAGGGACUGGGGCAUCUAACUUAGCUGUAAAACCCUAAAAUAUUUCCAUAUUGAAAUACAGAGGAAAGGGCGGCCCCUCAGGAUGCUGCUCUCAUAUCCUAGUACCAAAUCAGAGCCCUUCUACCCACAUGCAGAAAACCCUGUUUGAACAAUGACCACAGAGUCUGAUGGAAAAAGAUGCCAGCCCAUGAGCCCCUUUGCCUAAACUAGUCUGUGUUGCUUGGAAGAGGCAACCAAGUAAAAUAAAUGGUAAAGGUGGAAAGAAACUUUCAUUCUGGUGUUUUGGAUAUUUCAAGAAAAAGUAAAAUUGGCAAGGGGGUGAGAAAUCUGUUGUGGGUACCUAGAAUCACAGGCCAGCACAGAUGGGGAAGAUUUGUCUCGUCAGUAAGUUGGUGUUUCAGCCAGGAAAAUGGGAAGCAGGGGCUGGGGAGACCUCUGCCCUGCUUAUGUCUCUGCCAUUCUUUAAUUUUCAAUCAGGCAGAAUUCCAUCCUGCAGCUCUGCCGAAAGCCGAGGUUAGGCAAGUUUUCUUUCCCUGGCUUGGUGCAAGGAAGCUGUGAUGCAAGAGGCCUCUUUCUCAAUCCUUCUCUGCCUUGUUGGGGGCUGACCUGGCCAGGACCAGCAGGGUCUAGGGCAUGGACGUCUGUCUCGGGAGCUGGCCUCAGCGCACAAGCCCCUGUGGGCUCUCUCUCCAAGUGGCAGGGUCCGCUGCGCCAGGGUUGGAAGGCAAUGGGAAGUCCGGGCUUUCAGACACCAGCUUCUAUAUGUACAGAUGUGGGUCAACCUCACUGACCAGUGGACCCUCUUUGACCAUUCGGGUAAUCAGAAACAGGGAUUGGUUCAGUAUUUCAAUCUGCAGGCGGGGCCUAGGGUGCCCUUUUGGGGGCAGAGUAGUGUAGUAGCCGACAGCGUGGACGCCAGAGGCCGAGGCGCCCAUUCGUAUCUGGACCACGUGGUCCUCAUCAAGUCAUACCCUUUCUAUGCUUCCUCAGUUCCCUCAUCGGUCAAGUGAGGAUACUUACAGAACUUACAUCAGAGGGUAGCCCAGAUCAUACUUGGUGACCCAAAUAAACAUCCUUGUGGGUUUUUGAAGGGACAAAAAAGCAAAGGCAAAAUUCCUGACUUCUAGGAGUCUGUGUCCUCACUCCUUUCAGCAAACUCUGCACCUUAAACCAUGCCUGGCACAUAGUAGGCGCACAGCAAACGACCGCUGAACAAACACAGCUGGAAGACAAGUUCUACACACAGAGGAGCAGAACCCCCCUCGGCGACAGUGACUAAGCACCAAGUACAGGGUGCAGGCAAUAAAUACACCCAAUCGAGGCAUCCACCCCCUAAUGGAGUAACGGCAGUUUCACCUCGGGUUUUUAUUUACCUUCUUCCAUAUGCUUUCCUGUCUACUCUUCUCUCUCAGUUCCUUGAACCAGAUUUAUGUUGUCACGUGUGUGGAACAACCAGCUCAUUUUUCACUCGUGACGCUGCCAUUCCCCCGGCAUCAUCCGCUCCCCGGAGCACGUUCUGCCCGGGCUCAUUCGAAGCUACGCAGGCAGGCGUUUUUCUGAGCAGCCUUUCUGAGCAGUUGUUCACCUUUCCAGAAGUUCCACAGUACCUUCUCAUAAUUAGAAGCAUCAGGAACCCCAGGACGUACGCACAUUCAAUCAAAUGGGUGCACUAAAUAACCCGAGUCGUUUUCAAAGUCCUGAGUUACGGCCGACCGGGCUCCUAUUAGCAGCACGCAGGAGCUCGUCGUGAAUAUUGGUAAACACUUCUGGUGGGAGAGGCGUCCUGACAGCUUUGAUAAAUGGCUGGAAUCAUUUUCCACCUGGCCCGACUCAUUCCAAUCACAAGCUGCUGAAAAUAUCCUUUUUACACUCGCCCUUUUCUAAGUGCUGAGGCACGAACAAAAGUCCAUUCCCAGGCUGGUUACCUAAUUUUUAUUAAUAAUAUCUUCACUCUGUCAAUCGUUGUUAACUAACGAGAACAUAUGAAGAAAUUAAUUUAAGCCUGGUGAGAGGAAGCAUGGCAGCCCAUUACACUUCCCCUCCCCAGUGGACCCUGCGCCACUGGCUGCGUCACGAAGAUGCACGGUGACUCAGCCCGACCUGCCUCGACUUUCUCCGAGAGAGGACCGUUUCUCCUUCAGAGAGCCGUUUCCUAGGCUAGGGGGCUAUGCUAGCAAAGUUUUCUUAAUUGUUUCCCAUCCUUGAUCUCAUUCAGCACUGGGAAGGCUGUUGGCCCCCGACGCUAUGGGUGCCAGGGGCUAGUCCAUGGGCCAGGGUGAGCCACCUGUCUCAAAACUUCACCUGGCACCGAGGCCGGCCUUUUGCUCCCUGAGCUAUUCAUUCAAGUCAGGCCUCCAUAUUUUUGACCAAGGGUGGGGAGCAAAGGAAGAGGAAGAGGAAAAGGGUGAAUACCAGGCCCAGAAACAGCUCCCUGGUACCCUUCCCAUUGACCCGCUACACCAACCCCAUCUGUAUUCAGGCCAACAUUUGUCUUCCCGGGCCUGUGGCAUCUUGGGAACAAGACGGUAGCCAUGGACCAGUCCUUCGGGGGCUCGUGUUUACUUCUAUUCAGCAAACUACAACUUCCAGGUUCAAAGUUUCAAGAGAUGCACGAGCAUUCUGAACCCUGCGCACACCUGUAAAAAAUGUGAUGAGUCGCAGACAAGCAAGCCUGGAUUUUCUGUGAGUUGGCCCGUGGUGGUGAAAAUGUCAGGUGUCCCUUCAGUUAAAAUGAGUCCUCACAGCCUCCAUUUGCAGAGAGAGAAAGAGAAAUUCAAUCACAUUCAGUAGGCGUCCACACAUAAAGUAGCUCAUGUGAAUUAUUAAUGAUAAAUUUCGGCGGGGGGGGAUCUUCUUGGACUUUCUCUGUUGUACUUUUAACAAUUGAAUGCAAUGCUCAUCAGAUGUCUUCUUGUGAGAUGUCACAUUAUUUAAAUGAGAGCACAUCUGACAUUUCCAGAAGCACGUGCUAAAUUCUGAAAAGGGAAUGUUCUCGCUGAUUUGAUGGGCACCAUUUGGGCUUUUCAAAAUAAAGGUUUUGAGCACUUUGAUUUUGGAGCGACUUGCAUAGUUCGACACAGAGAUUUAAAAUACUCUCAACUACUUUAAAGAAGAACAGCGAGAAAGUUUCCUGCUUUGCGACAAACAGAGGAACCCUCCACAAAGUGACAUUUGAAAGGCACUGAUGGCGGAUAAUAACUGCUCAAAAUAUACUUAGAAACGCUUGCCGUUUCAUUGUUCUUUAUGUAUCUCAUUAUUCCGGGUAUUGUCAUGUCAAAAAAAAGUUUCAUAUGACAUAUGUUGUUCCUUCAAAAAAAAAAAAAGUCUAAGUCAGAGAUGAAAUCUAAGUCUCCACGAUACAUCGUGGCCUGGACAGGUCAUCUCUGGGAAACGACCUUUACUAUCUCUGGUUGCAGGCACUCACGUUCUAACAGAAAGGCAUUUAUUUGCUUGGGGUUGGCCCAUGCUGCUCCUUCCCUUUCUGCAGUGCCUGGGACAUUUACUGACACAUAUUGGAGCGCAAUUCAUGAGGCCAGACACUGUGCUAACUGAUGUGAGGGGUGAGAUGGGUGUGGGACGGUCCACAGAGCAACCAGAAGAAUCCCAAAAAUGUCAGUGCAUUGUUUUUCGUUACCUGUUCCAUUUGCUUACCCAACCCUCUGUAUCAGAUUGUGGUCAGCCCUUGGGAGCUACAAGGAGCUCCUCAGAGCUCCAAAAUCAGCUUCCUCUUUGUGAGUUAAACUUGGUCACAUCCUUGAGCCACCUUUGUUCCUACCUCAGGGCCUUUGCACCUGCUCUUC